GGAAUACAGAAGCAGGAGCAUAAAUAAAUGAAAUGUAGUACUUCUUAAGUUGAUACAUUUUAUUUCACUUAGCAUUAUAUGUCUGUUAAAGUUUUUUCUUAAUAAAUAACAGAAUUUCAAAACAACGACAAGGAAAGUUUUUCACUGUCAUUUCUUUUCGACUUUACUUCUGCGUGAUAGUUGCCCUGGGUUUAGAAAACAGUCGUUUACUUGGCACUGAAGUGGCCACAAUGUGUAAAUAUUAAUAAGCCUAUUUAUACAACUCCGGAAACACAGUAUUCAUGUCAACCCAAACUCUAUUGGCUUCUGAUUGGUAGGGAUAACUGCCGAGAUACACACUCUAUUCAACAUUUCGUCCCUGUAAUUGUAGAUAAAUUUAACAGCUUACAUUUCACCUUUUGGUGGACCAAAUGUUUAUUCUGGUUCCAAAUAUCAAACAAGUAUUCUGUUUCACACUCAUCCAAAGAUUUCGUAGGAUCAGUGCGAUUCUUUAAAUCUUUUAUAAAACAAAAAAAAAUGUUUCUUUUAGCCAUAGCAUCUUUAAAAAGCAGUAAUUUGAAUCUCUGAUCUAACGCAGUAGCCUACGCCAGAAUUAAAUUGUAUAAAUAAAUCAUAAAAGUAACCGCAGUAUUGUCCAAGCGCACAUUCCCCUAACGAAUUCUCCGUAUUUUACAAAAAUCGAAUUCCAAUGUAAUAAAGCGUAUCCAAAUAGACGGUUUCGAGUUAAUACCCGAAAAAGUGUGCAGGUGCGAAGUCAAAUUUUUAUAUAAAACAUCGACAUAAAACAUCGUUGAAAGUGACAUCGAUGCAUCGAUGUUUUUAGAUUCGAGACAUCGAUGGCUAACAUCGAUGCUUUUUGACGAAAACAUCGAUGUUUCAAAAACAUCGAUACAUCGUUUGCAUCCCUACUUAUCAUACUCACGAACCCAAAUAUAUCAACAAAUCCUUAUCAGCUGUAAACAUAAAAACAUGUAUCAUGAUAUAUACACAUAGUAAUCUAUUGUAACUAUCAGUAACAGAUAAGAACUUAUCCAAAUAUAUUUAUCAGUUUAAAAUAAGACAACAUGUAUGUUCUGUCGAUAGUAUAAAUAGUUGUGAGCAAACCUAAUGUCUUUUAGUCUUAGUAUUACCACAAACCAAGAAGAUACAUUAUACCAAGAAUGAUAUAAGACAAGAUUACGACUUAGUGACGCGCUCACGACCCCGAAUGGAAAUGGUCAACAGAAUAAUUGUCAAAUGGAAAACGGAAAUGUAAAACAUAGUGAACCAAAUUGAAUAAUGUGCACAUAAAAUAUCACAAUGAACGUGAUUCCUAAAAUCGUCAUCUGUAAAAUGAUCCAAUAUAAUACAUAAUAAUGCAUAUUUAUAAUUAAAAGUAUACGUUUGUCACAAAAAGUUCGUCAUUUUGCCAACUUUUUUGUUGGUUGGAAAAGUGAAAAAAGUCUUUAUAUACGAGUUUUUUUACUAUUGUUGUUUAAUUCCGCUAUUGCGGAUUUCUUUUUCAAGUUAAUACAUUUUUCACUUAGAAUUUUAAAUAUUAAUUAAGCACUAGUCUUGACUUCAACUCAUUGUUUUGGUUUUAUUGGUUUGUACUACCGUGCAAUUUGUUAGUUUUUCUUUCGUUUUUUUUUUGCUCGCGUGUUUGGGGGUCGUGAGUGCGUCACUCAACAGGAAAUUAAAACCCAAAAAAGCUAACUGUAAACGAAUGUCGAAAUCUUGUCUUCUAUCAUUCUUGUAUUAUACUCAAUAAAUAAACUUAAUAAUAAAUACUGUUUAUUAUUUAACUGGAGGCUCAACCGGGAUGGCAAAUCAAUUUGCUUUCCGGCCAGUCUUUGAAAUAUAAGACUUAAAAAUCCCAAAUUCCACGGUCUUGAAGAAAGACAUUGCAAGUCACUGCAGUGCUCGAAGCAAAGGAAGCAUACUUUGUAAACACACCAAGUCCUGAAAAAUAGGAAUACCAACAAAACAGCAAGUCACUGCAGUCCUGAAUAUAAAGAAGGAAACUUUGCAAACAACGCUCGCACCCAACUCAGAGGAAAAACUGGAGCAUAUUAAGAACUUCCGCAAGCAAAAAUUCACGGCAGCCGAAGAAAACCAGAAGCUGUUACGAUGACUUCAGAAAUGGCACAACUUCGCGCCCACAUUGACUUACUGACUCAAACUUUGCAGCAGCAAUGUAUUAAGAAUAGGCAAUCAGCGAUAAUCAAAUGAAUCAUUUAAAGAAGGAAUAAAGGUCCAGACCCAAUGCUGGCUGGCUUUACUUACUUUCGUUGAUGUCACAAUCACUGUUGCCAGACACUUAAUUAUUUGUAUGUACAUCUAAAAGUCAAACAAAACUUGCUAAUAAUUUAAUGUUAAAUGUUCUAUUAUUAUAAACUCUUUGUAAAUUUCUACAUACAUAUAUCAAAUAUUUUAAAUAUUAUACAUUUUAACUAUUUGUACUGGCAAACGCAUAUGUGAUUCAAGCGCUUGAAGCAAAGCUUCAUUUGGUCUCUUUUCAUAUGCUCUAGUAUAGUUCUAUUCAGUUUUGACAGUUCUCACAGCACUUGGAGCACUCCCACGGUUCGAUGGAUGCAAAAAUCAAUAUAGAUCCAGGAGAUCGCAAGUAUGAACCUUUGUGGAUGGCAUAAAAGGAUUCACCAACCAUCCUAGAUACUACACUGUACUUGGUAUAGUACGCACAAAACUAACAGGAGCAGCAGCAGAUAUUCUUACAAACCACAACACGAAGAUGAAUUUGUAUUCCAUAAUAAAUAGACUGGAUUACACGUUUGCAGACCAAAUGCCACUAUACGUCUUUUUAGAGGAAAUGAAAUAGAUCGUACAAAAAGGAAGAUCUUAGCAGAAUUCCACAGUGAAAUGGCAUUAUCAAAAAUUGAGAUUCCCGAAAACCAAAACAGUGCACAGUGGUUCGGCUUGUAUGAAGGCGCGGUCAUAAAUACUUCCCGUUGAGAUAUCGCUAUGAAAUUUCACCAAAAAUCUAGAAAAAUAUUUUAAAUAUAUAUUAAAAAAUUGGCCCCAUCGGACUACUAGGUCCUAUAGCUCCCAUAGAAAAGUAAUUGCCAUUAUAUGGCAAUGAUGCGCAAAAAUAGUUGAAGCGUCAAAACUUUCAGUAAGGCUUUGCAAAAAAAAACUAAGAAAGCGAUACACAAGCUGAACAUGAUUUGUCGUUAUAGUUUCCCCCAUCCAACCCCCACAUUCAACCUAUAAGAAUAAUAUUAUAUAAAACAAGUAAGGAAAGGCUAAGUUCGGGUGCAACCGAACAUUUUAUACUCUCAAUUUAUUGAUAUAUUUUUAUUAAGAUAACACACAAUUUCACCCAAUUUGAAAAUCCUAUAAUUAGGUAUAUGAGAGGUGUUGAAAUUACACUAUUAGAACAAAAAUAUUUCCUCUAAAUUAAAUUAAGAUACCUGAGAGAUUUACCGAAAUUUUUGGUUGAAAAAUUACCAUGGGGCUCUGAAUUCUUCAUUUUCGGUAUUCGGGGCUUUGAAAAGUUAUAGUCCGAUUUCGACAAUUUUUUCACAAGUGAUGCCACAGAUCAUAUACAGUAUUUGUGUAAAGUUUUAUUUCGCUAUCUUCAUUUGUUCCUUAUGUAUAUAUUAUAAAGUGAAGGAAUAAGAUGAAGUUCAAAAUUGAGUUACAUGGGAAGUUGUCGUGGUUGUGAACCGAUUUCAUCAAUUUUCCACACGUGUCAGCAGGGUGCCAAGAAAAUAUUAUAUACCGAAUUUCAUCAAGUAAUUUUUAUACUCUCGCAACCUGUUGCACAGAGUAUUAUAGUUUUGUUCACAUAACGGUUGUUUGUGUCACCAAGAAAUAAAAGAGUAAUAUAUGGGGUUAUAUAUAUAUAAGUGAUCAGGAUGACGAGGGUAUUUGAAAUCCGGAUGUCUGUACGUCCGUCUGUCCGUGCAAGCGAUAACUUGAGUAAAAAUUAAGAUAUUUUAAUGAAACUUGGAACACACAUUCCUUGGUAGGAAUCCCUGAGGAGGUUGCUUUCAAAAAUGGGCGAAAUCGGUCCACUGCCACGCCCACAAAAUGGCGAAAACCGAAAACCUAUACAGUGUCAUAACUAAUAAAGUUGUGAAAAUAAAAUUUGGAACAUAGGAUCGCAUUAGGAAGGGGCACAUUUGGAUGUAAUUUUUUUUAAGUGGGCGUGAUCCCGCCCCCAAAUAGGUUUUUUGUAUAUAACUCGCAAACCAUGACGGACAGACGGACGGACGGACAGACAUCCGGAUUUCAAAUCCACUCGUCAUCCUGAUCAUUUAUGUAUAUAUAACCCCAUAUCCAACUCUUAUAUUUCUUGGUGACACAAACAACCGUUAUGUGAACAAAACUAUUAUACUCUGUUCAACAGGUUGCGAGAGUAUAAAAAACCUAAAAUGUCUCCUUUAGUAAACCGUACACAGAUUGAAAUAACGACGAUGUAUCCUUCUUUCCAAGCUUUUUUAUCCCAAUUAUAACGAGUUUGAACUUAAAACUAGUUAAUUCAAAGGGCAUUAUUAUAUACAAAAUAGAAGACGCAACAAAAAAUGUACAAAAAAAAAAUAGUUGAUAUAAAACACUUAUUUCACUAAAAACACAAAUCACGUUAGUCUUAAUUAAUUUCACAAGUUGAAAUAAAUACCUUUAACUUUAAAAUUUUAAAAUCCAUUAAAAAUAAUAUUGAUUCGUUAACCUGAAAAUUACCAGAACAAAUUGAAGUUCGUUGUUGCUGCGAAAUUAAAAAAAAAAAAAAAAUUUAUGUGCUUUAAAAAAAUAGUUAUUCAUGCAUUUAAUGCUAUUUUUAGAAAGUACUGUUAGACUUUUAGGAAAACCCGGUUAGCAAAUAGGAAGUUUGGACAAUUUCGAAGACAUCUGUAUACAUUUUGACAAAAAAUCGUGAGAUGGAUUUUUUGAUUUUUGGCCGAUGGCGGAACCACAUUGCAGUGGUUCUAUGAAAGACUAUGCGAAUCAGGAAGCAGUAAGGACCUUCAUCCUAGGGUUAAAUAGCAAAUAUAGAAGUGGGACAAUGUAUAGUCAUAAUCCUAAGGAUUUGGAAACAGCUUACGCAGUAGGUAGUACUAUUUACCGUGACAAUGGGAAUCAACAGUUUGAGAUACAAGCUACACCAUCGAUAUCCGACCACAAUCAGUGGUAUCAAUUCAUGGAAAAAGUCGCAGAUCAUCAUGAUAGAGAAACCAGGUAAAGACUUGACACAGCCGUCUUUAUACAGACCAAUCAGUCUUCUACCCUGUCUUUCUAAAAUAUUUGAAAAGUGUUACUAUCAAAGAUGUCUCCUUUCCUCCAUGAAAAUAAUGUAAUACCAACGCACCAAUUCGGGUUUCGUGCAAAACAUGGCACUGUAGAACAAAUGUGGCUCAGGCGUUCAAUAAAGUGUGGCAUGACGGGCUUUUAUAUAAGGUUAAAAAAAGCUUACCUCUCGAAAUGCAUAAAACCUUGGAUUCUUAUUUAAAAAAUAGAAAGUUUACUGUCAAAGUAGGAGACUUCAUAUCUGAAGAACGACCAAUAAGAGCUGGUGUACCUGAGGGCAGUGUUUUAGGGCCAACUCUAUACAUAAUAUAUACAGCAGACCUUCCAACAGCUGGCAACAUUUUGACAUCAACUUUUGCGGAUGACACAGCUUUAGUGAGCAGAAACAAAUGCCCAGUUAUAGCAUCAAAAGUAUAAGGAGGGCAUUUGAUUUUUGUCGAAGAAUUGCUAGCAAACUGGCGUAUAAAUGUAAAUGAACAGAAGUGCAAGCAUGUUACAUUUUCUCUAAGACCAAAAACGUGCCCGGCAGUUAAAAUGAACAAUAUUUUAUUACCCCAAGCGACUGAAGUAACAUAUCUUGGUAUUCACUUGGAUAGAAGGCUCACGUGGAGAAAACACAUAUCGAGCAAAAUAACCUGCACGAAGAUAAGAGCAGCACAUUUAAAUUGGCUUUUAAAUAAAAAUUCAAAACUUAGCCUAGACAACAAAGU